GAUGAACGCUGGCGGCGUGCCUAAUACAUGCAAGUCGAGCGAACAGAUGAGGAGCUUGCUCCUCUGACGUUAGCGGCGGACGGGUGAGUAACACGUGGAUAACCUACCUAUAAGACUGGGAUAACUUCGGGAAACCGGAGCUAAUACCGGAUAAUAUAUUGAACCGCAUGGUUCAAUAGUGAAAGACGGUUUUGCUGUCACUUAUAGAUAGCUCCCCGCCGCAUUAGCUAGUUGGUAAGGUAACGGCUUACCAAGGCAACGAUCCGAAGCCGCCCUGGAGGGGUGACGGGCACCACUGGAACUGAGACAGGGUCCAGACUCCUCCGGGAGGCACCGUUAGGGAAUUUCCCGCAAUGGGCGAAGGCCUGACGGGGCAACGCCGCGUGAGGGAGGAAGGUUUUCGGAUCGUAAACCCUUUUUAUUAGGGAAGAACAAAGGUGUAAGUAACUAUGCACGUCUUGACGGUACCUAAUCAGAAAGCCACGGCUAACUACGUG
rnacentral:rRNA from 1 species